GAAAGCAAUACAUCCAGCAAUUCUCUAAGUAGUCAUAACCCUGCAAUGGAUAAGAAGGUCAAUAUGAGGCAAGAAUUCAUUUGUCAUUACUGAUCAGCGGCCUAUUGAACAUAGAAGCCGCCUUUCCACUACUGCCAGAAGACCUUGUUGAACUUAAAAUGUGUGCAAAGCCUGACAAAUGUAGUUUGCAAAGCCUGCCCCCCCCCACUUUUAAAAGAAGCCUUUUCAAAUGAAGAUAAACUUGUCCCUGAUUCAAAUGACAAUGCUCCUCUAAAAGUCAGAUACUAUUCCUUGCCCUUUUCAUGACAAUGAUUGUAGAAACUAAAGCUGAACGUGUCCUGUGCCUUUGAAGUAAAUGAGUAAAGACACUCUAGGAAAUUUAUCUUAAAGGGCAAGAUUCAAGAAAUGAUUUUUUCUUUUUGCUGUAAAUUGGAAGAAAAAUUCUAAAUUGCUGUAUAUUAGAAUAUAAAACCAAGGCAGCUUUGUAGAUUCAAUUGAAACAGAUGAAGGAUAUUUUUAAAAUAUCCACAUGACAUACAGGCUAUUGAAUAUUAUUCUUUCUGGUUUUUGAACUUUAAUUUCUAAACACACAUGGAUGACAGAUACCUUGUUUACUACGUGGUAAGUAAUACACUUUCCAUCACAGUGGCAGCAUGCGCUGCAGGACGAGAAGCAAAACAGAAUGAGCAGAGUCUUUGUAAGCAUCAUAGCAUCCUUUACAGUGGAUGGGAUCUCUAUCUGCAUAUAUUUUCCCUAUCUCUUAGAAGGCUGGGAUAAAUUCUCAAUGCGAAGUGAUGAAAUAACUUUUGAAGUUGGGCCAGAUUUACUUGUACAUCCCAUUAGAGCCCUAUUGAGGCAUUCAUAAUGAGUACAUGAGGCGGGGGAGUGUGGGUGAGCAUGCUAGAUCCUCUUCACUUCACCUUCCACAUGAUCAAGGGCAACUGCUGCUUCCACAGGUUUCAGAAUCUUGGCAAAUCAAGGCUCAGAAAUGUCUCCCGAGCGCAGAGGAGGUUUCCCUGCUGCAGACUGUUGCCCUUGAAUUUGCAGAGGGCAACUGGGGCAGGGUGUAGAGCUAGCAUACUUGGCCUUAUUCUCCCCUUCUCAUGUAUUAUUUGAAACCCUGUUAUGAUUGCCUGAAGAGGGCUUGGGUUGUUUGAUGUAUUUAGCAUGAGGCUUGGGAGAUAGCUUGUUUUUAUUACCAAAAAGUCUCUAUUUGCUUUAAGGAAUUAGGCAUCUCAUACAUUUCUGGAGCUUGAUGUUUUGCAAGUAUUCAGUGGGAUACCAAUUUCUUAUUUAGGCACGGGGUAUCUUAUGCAUAUUAAUAAAUACGUUAUCUCAUUGUGGAAGUAGUGAGUAUAUUUUCUGUGCUUAGAGAGUACUGACUGGAACUUCUUGGUUGGAAAGCUGGUUAGGGAAAUUACUGUUAAACAUAUUCACCACCAUGGUAUCCGAAUUGCCAUACCUUCUGGGAAUGCAGCCAUUUAUGCAAUCUAACUUUAUGCCAUUGAGGUAUGCAGUAUGUACUGUAUUUAUGAUUGAGCAGAAAGUUUCAAACGGCAGCCUGUGAAAUUGGAUUUUGGAUGUAAUGUACCAUAAAUAAGUGCUAUAAAGAUUGCCUUUAAUGCUAUAAAUCAGAUUUUAUUGGUUUCAGCUAUCUUAUUCUGUUUAUUGUAUUACCCACAAAAUCAGUUGAAAUCAAAGAGCUGGAAUAUGUUUUAUUUUAAUGUCUCAUCUGCUGCAGAAAUGGCACAUGAAUCCUUACAUCUCCUUUUGGGGGGAUAAAAUGAGUAAGGGUGUGAGAUUAGACAUUAGAAGAACGUGUUCAUAGAAAAGGAAUUGUAAAUAGUGAAAUGCAAGACCAUUUAACAUUUUGAAACUGCCUUUUACCUAGGAAAUGAAACCUGGGUCACCUGGGAAAUGAAAUUAUAUAUUUCCACAUGGUUCUCUCUCAAGUGCCUUUGACCCUUAAGCGUAGGAAUAUGCAUAUGCCGAAUACCUUGUGAUGGGGAUUUUCAGUGGCCUGAUGUGGAUGUAGAUUCCUAAACAUGGUGAUGUCCAAAAGGGGAACAGCAGCCUAUGUCAGUUUUCUAACCAGCAUCUGAAACGACAUUCAAGCCAUGGUUUUCAUCCCAGUUAGUAAACUGACAUUUAAACCACAGUUCUCCAUUUUAGAAGUGAUGGAGAACUGCAGUGUAAACUAACCAAGAUUAGCAUGACAAAAAGGGAAGUGGGAGGAGAUGAAGAUAGAAGGCAGGAACAUGUGGGCCUAACACUCAUUCCCUGUUUGCUCAAUCAUGCUCAAUCAAAAUAUUUUGUGAUUAAAUCGGUUAACUUGUGAAGAUCAUCAUCGGAGACCUUCCUUCAACUUCCCCCAUAGUUGGGUAGGAGAGCUGAAAAUAAUGCCAAUUUAUUUCACAUCUGGCAACCAGUGUGCUCCUUUGGUUUCAGAUAGUACAUGGGUAGAUGAGUCACUCUCACUAAAGCCACUGAGAAUCCUGGAUAAACUUCUUGUCUGUGGAUAUGACACACAGUGUAAGCUUCCUGCCAUGGAUUCUAAGACCUUUAUAGCCCCAUUCUACAGUGGGAUGUGCUACUCUGCUGGGGGCUAAGCAAUUUGCUCAGUAUAAUUUUCUAGGACUUGGGGAAAGGGAAAAGUGACAGUAGUGUUCAAGAUCAAGGCAGUACAAAGGAUUUAAGCAGGGGUGUUUGCUUAUGCACACCCACUACAGCCAUGCUAAUACACACUUUACUCCUGCUCAGAGAUGGGGGAAGAAAUGUUUAGUGCUUAAAAUGUACGGUGUGGAUGUGACCUGAGAGAAACCAAACCUGAUAUAUUGCAGACAUCCUUACUUCUGCUAGUCCACAGAUAGACCUGAAGAAUCAUAGAACCAAUGCAUGGUAUACAAGGAGAAAUGUUGAGACAGAUUCUGUAAAACUCCUCCCAUUUCCAGGUUCUGCUUUCACACAUCCAUAUUGACACACAAACACAUAUAAACAAUUUCCCUUGUUUAUAUGGUAAAAAACUGAUUUCUUUCAGAUAUACCAUAUUUGCAUCCCAAAUAUACUAUAUGUAGGCAUAAUGGUCCUUUUUACUUGUCAAUAAGUAAAAAAAGCAAGCAAUCUGUGAACAAAUUGUGUCGUAUACAAGAUGGGAUGGGGGGAAAGUAGCCUUGAGUCUGCAUUCAGGUAGAUAAUGGCUAAUGUUUAUCUCUUUUUGUUUUUCUGGGUUUUACCAUUUUUGUCAUUUCAGUUUUCUGCAAGCCAGAACACUCAGUCAUAUUACAUAUGAUAAUUAGAUUUGAAGCUGUAAGCAUGAAAUAAAUUAGGCUUUUAAUUGCCCCCCCCAACUGUGCAGAGGAAGGAUGUUCACACAUGAUGACUAUGUGAGCUGAUCUUAUUACAAUAGAAAACUGCAGAAAAGUGUUAAAUAAUGUGCCUUUAGAAGUUAACAUUGCAGUCUUAGCAUCUUCCAAUCUCUGAUGCAUAUAACUAUUAACUAUUAUAGUGAAUGUAUGUAAUCAAUUUUAAGCUUUCCUGUUUGGUGGAUAUAAUUGUAACUGCAGAUACUGUAACAGUUUUAAAUUUAAGGCAUAGAUUCUAGGCUGUGUUGUCAGGAUUUGGCAAAAUCCUAUGUCAUGCUAAUCAACCCAGAAAGUGAUUAUGUGUAUUGCAAUGAAUUUGCGAAUCCCCGUACUAUGCAAAUUGAUGGUUAUGUGCAUUUGGGGUUUGGGUAUUUGGAUUAUUGAGAGAAGGUAGUGAGCCAAUGUGGUGUCCUCGUAUAAGUAAAUUGCUAGCUGCCUGCAAAUUUACAACUCUUAUCUGUUGAGCCUGAUGCCCAAGGAUACCCCUCCUACAUUUGAACCCCUUUAGUGUAACAAUCUGCAGCUGGGGCUUGUCACAAGAACAUCACAUUAUCAUGUUCUAGAUGAUUCGAGCCUCCUGCACCGUGGGAUUGAUCAGAUGCUAUCUCUGGGGAGCCUCUGGGGGGAAGGGGGUAUAAAACAGCUUCUAGCUCAUUGUUUCCUUGCCCUGCAUCUUCUCUUACUACACUGCUGUUUACUGUUGCCUGCUAUUUUGAUGGUGACUGUUAUGCACUGAAAUUCUCACCCUGGGCCAGCAGGGGGAUACUGUAGAUAGUUUUCACUCAGGUCAGCAUAUGCAAAUAAGGAAUUGAAAGUGACGUUCAGUGAUUUGAUAGUUACAGAAAGUUGUUACUGUUGCUUUGUAGUUGAACUCUAUAUAAGCAGGUUGGCUGAACCCUUCAGUUCAGUUCAGUUCAGGCCUGUGAAUAAACAAGAGCUGUUCGAAGAGUUGCUGUGUCGUCUGAUAUGUUCACCUACAACUUAACAGUGACCGGCAGAAUCAAUCUUUCUCCAGCUGGGGUCACUGAGACUGGUGAGCAAGGUAUAUGGUGUUAGCUAGGCAAGUCUGUCAUAUUUUAGUGUGGGCUGGUUCUAUACACCAAAUUUUUCCUGAAUUUAUAAUUUGAUUUCCUUUUCUAGACAUCUUAUAUUGCAUUGGGUUUCAGGAUCCUCUCCUGGGGUUUCUUUACUAUUCACCCAGCUUGAUGUCCCAACUCCCAGAGAGGAAAAGGUGACUACUUUACUCCUGUUAUAGUUCUGCUGCUGCUGUGUUGCCAUGAACAAGGCCAUGCUUUGGCUUGCAUGUCAUCUGAACUUGGGCUCAUGCUUUGUUUCGCUUCAAACAAACCAGGAACCCAGGUUUGGAUGACACAUUAAGCCAAAGUAUGGCUUAUUUUACAGCAGUGCAUCAGCAGAGGAUUGACAGGAAUCUUCACACUUGCCCAUUUGCCAGAGUAUUUAGCUGAACUUAUUUCAGUUUCAAAGUAGUAUUGUGACCUUUUGUUUUAUUGUUUUUAUCUGUCUCUCUUGUUGCUGUUGUUGUUAAUCCUAGAAGUACCUAGAUAAACUCUUUACACAAGUUUGGAAGCAAGUGCUCCAUUACCUAAACUCCCAACAAUGUUGCUUCAUUUGUUACAAAGUUGGAAUGCAUUCAAGUUGCACAUGCAUCUUAAUAUUUGUAAUAGAUUGAGCCAUGACUAGAAUUUGUUUAGGAAAAGUGUCCAAGUUGUAGAAGUGUGGUGUAAAUUAAUUCCUUACAGGCUAGCCUGUCUUUGGGGAUGAGCCUUCUAACUUAUCUUAGUGACAGAUGUCAGAUCCAGUGGCUUAAUAGGAAAGCAUGACAUGAAUAAUAACAGAAAGCAGGCAGAAUAAAACGCUUCACUGCAAAUGGAACUGAUUAGAAAGCUGUCCAUUACAGUAUUAAUAUUACUGGUUGUGAUCUCAGUAGAUUGAAUUAAUUAAUGAAAACCAUGUUAGCAGAAAUAUAAGCCCAUCAGAUCUCUGAUCUUUUAUUAACCAAUUUUGAAGAUCAUUAGUUUUUCUGAAUGGACUCUAUGGCCAUUUCAGGACCACUUCCAUUAUGCUUCUGGGCUGAAUUUCAUUUCUCUCUGCCCCAGUGCACUUGCAUCUUCCUUAGUGCUAAACGUGUGGUGUCCAUUGUCCACUGUGAUGGCAUUGUGGAAUUAUUUGUAUUUAGAAAUGCAUUUCUAUAGUGGCUAAUUGAAAUUAAGACCCUAAGUAAUCCUCCGUUGUUUCUAAAGAUUUAAAAACUGGAAAGGCUAAUAAGCAAGAAGAGCAAACCACUGAAACAAAAUAAUCACAUGGCAAGUGUCCAGCAGCCUGUGGGGAUAGUUGACAUGAAUUGGGCAGAAGAUAACUCUGUUUUGUAAAGCAAAUGAGAGCACUUGUAAAGCUCAUUCCAUUCCAUCCACUGGUGGUGGGAAUCUGACUAUACAUUAUUAUUAAGAUAUUAUCCAUUGCAUUCUAGGAAGAAUAUACCUAUAUCUGUCUACCUGUUCUCUAGAACUCAAUGGUAUAUAAUGGAACUAUAUAUCCGAUCGUCUUUGAGAAUAAAAAUAUCUGAGACACUCAGGAAGGGAGCUAGC